rnacentral:rRNA from 1 species
CCUACGGGAGGCAGCAGUAGGGAAUCUUCCGCAAUGGGCUGGAAGCCUGACGGAGCGACGCCGCGUUGGGCAGGAAGGCCUUCGGGUUGUAAACCGCUGUAGUCGGUGAAGAAUGGCCGAGGAGGCGGCAUUGACGGUACUCGACGAGGAAGCCCCGGCUAACUACGUGUCCAGCAGCCGCGGUAAUAGCGUAGGGGGACGAGCGUUGUCCGGAAUGACUGGGCGUAAGACGGCGCGUAGGCGGCCUGUGAAGUCUGCUGUGAAAGGCCACCGCUCAACCGUGGGGGUGCAGCGGAAACUGGCGGGCUUGAGUGACAGGAGAGGUGCGCGGAAUUCCCGGUGUAGCGGUGAAAUGCGCUAGAGAUCGGGAGGAACACCGAUGGCGAAGGCAGCGCACUGGACUGGAACUGACGCUGAGGCGCGAAAGCGUGGGGAGCGAACAGGAUUAGAUACCCUGGUAGUCCACGCUGUAAACGAUGGGUGCUAGGUGUGGGUGGUGCGACCCAUCCGUGCCGGAGUUCACACAUUAAGCACCCCGCCUGGGGAGUACGGCCGCAAGGCUGAAACUUAAAGGAAUUGACGG